rnacentral:rRNA from 1 species
GAUGAACGCUGGCGGCGUGCCUAAUACAUGCAAGUCGAGCGAACAGACGAGGAGCUUGCUCCUCUGACGUUAGCGGCGGACGGGUGAGUAACACGUGGAUAACCUACCUAUAAGACUGGGAUAACUUCGGGAAACCGGAGCUAAUACCGGAUAAUAUAUUGAACCGCAUGGUUCAAUAGUGAAAGACGGUUUUGCUGUCACUUAUAGAUGGAUCCGCGCCGCAUUAGCUAGUUGGUAAGGUAACGGCUUACCAAGGCAACGAUGCGUAGCCGACCUGAGAGAGUAAUCGGCCACACUGGAACUGAGACACGGUCCAGACUCCUACGGGAGGCAGCAGUAGGGAAUCUUCCGCAAUGGGCGAAAGCUUGACGGAGCAACGCCGCGUGAGUGAUGAAGGUCUUCGGAUCGUAAAACUCUGUUAUUAGGGAAGAACAAAUGUGUAAGUAACUAUGCACGUCUUGACGGUACCUAAUCAGAAAGCCACGGCUAACUACGUG